AUGUUUCAGCUUUAUUUCACAAAAAGGGGAAACCAGUCUGUUUAGCAAGCAUCACAAAUGCUGGUUUAUUAUCAGUAAAUGUUUGAUUUAACACCUAUUUUAUAUACCUAUAUACUAGGGAUUACAUUAAAAAUGGGGCAGAAAAGGGUCACGAGUGGAAAAAAGUUUAAGAAGUGCUGGUCUAGAGCAUGGUUUUUUUUUCUGUGCCCUUGACCAUGGCCUCUUACACAUAGCUGAAUAAAUUCCCACAUUUUCUGCUUUGAACUGGAAUAUAUGGCUGUGUGCACUCAGAUAACCCAGUCCAAAGCAGAUAUUGUGAGAUUUCUUGCCUUGAUAUUCUGGGCUACAUGGUUGUGUGGAGGGGCCCUAUGAACCUCCUCCAGCACUAUUCACCUACAGAUCUGUUUCUGUUCCUGGAGAAUCUACAGAUGAUGCACUCUUAGCAUCUCUCUUCCCUCAAGGGCAGGUUCGAUAGAUGGUAUCCUUGAAGUGACUGGCUUGACCUUGAAGGAGCUGGGGUUUUAAUGGCUGAUAGGGAGCUCGGGCAUGGGUUGGUCCACAAGGUCACGAAGAGUCAGAAGCAACUGAACAAAAACACAACUGAAGUUAGUAACAACUGAAAGAAGCUGAAGACAAAGGGGAAAAGUGGAAUGAGAUAGAAACUGGGACAUUUCAAAGACAACUGAAAAGAUUGGAUAAAAGAUAAAUUGGCACAGUUCCUGCAAUUUAGAACAGUCGGAACGCUCCACCCCUCUGCUUCCCACCAAUACAAAAAACAAACAGAA